UACGAAGGGGGCUAGCGUUGCUCGGAAUUACUGGGCGUAAAGCGCACGUAGGCGGCUUGUUAAGUCAGGGGUGAAAUCCUGGAGCUCAACUCCAGAACUGCCUUUGAUACUGGCGAGCUUGAGUUCGGGAGAGGUAAGUGGAAUUCCGAGUGUAGAGGUGAAAUUCGUAGAUAUUCGGAAGAACACCAGUGGCGAAGGCGACUUACUGGACACAUAUUGACGCUGAGGUGCGAAAGCGUGGGGAGCAAACAGG
rnacentral:rRNA from 1 species